GCCCAGGUGGUGAAAUUGGUAGACACGCUGGCUUUAGGUGCCAGUGGUAGUAAUACCGUGUCGGUUCGAGUCCGACCCUGGGCACCA
rnacentral:tRNA from 1 species